AAUGAAAGCUUAAACAUCCUCAAGUAACAAUCCAAACUUUAGAAAAUAUUCAUCAAAUAUAAAAUUUGGACAUGGUACCUUUAAAAAUGGUCCUAUUAUAGCUAGAAAGUAGACAAUAGAUGAUAUAAUUUUAGCGGUUGAUUCAAACUAUCGCAAACGUUGAAAUGUUGCUAGGUAAUACAUGACAAAUAGAGGAACUCAUGUGUCCAUUUCGUGCCCACACUAUCUAUU
rnacentral:lncRNA from 1 species